AACGAACGCUGGCGGCAUGCCUAACACAUGCAAGUCGAACGAGACCUUCGGGUCUAGUGGCGCACGGGUGCGUAACGCGUGGGAACCUGCCCUUAGGUUCGGAAUAACUCCCCGAAAGGGGUGCUAAUACCGGAUAAUGUCUUCGGACCAAAGAUUUAUCGCCUUUGGAUGGGCCCGCGUUGGAUUAGCUAGUUGGUAGGGUAAAAGCCUACCAAGGCGACGAUCCAUAGCUGGUCUGAGAGGAUGAUCAGCCACACUGGGACUGAGACACGGCCCAGACUCCUACGGGAGGCAGCAGGGGGGAAUAUUGGAAAAUGGGCGAAGGCCUGAUCCAGCAAUGCCGCGUGAGUGAUGAAGGCCUUAGGGUUGUAAAGCUCUUUUACCCGGGAUGAUAAUGACAGUACCGGGAGAAUAAGCUCCGGCUAACUCCGUG
rnacentral:rRNA from 1 species